rnacentral:SRP_RNA from 2 species
GCCAGGCGUGGUGGUGCAUGCCUGUAAUCCCAGCUACCCAGGAGGCUGAGGCAGGAGAAUUGCUUGAACCCGGGAGGCAGAGGCUGCAGUGAGCUGAGAUCACACCACUGCAUUCCAGCCUGGGUGACACAGCAAGACUCUGUCUCAA